rnacentral:rRNA from 1 species
CCUACGUGUGGCAGCAGUGGGGAAUAUUGCACAAUGGAGGGAACUCUGAUGCAGCGACGCCGCGUGAGUGAAGAAGUAAUUCGUUAUGUAAAGCUCUAUCAGCAGGGAAGAACGUGACGGUACCUGAAAAAGAAGCUCCGGCUAAAUACGUGCCAGCAGCCGCGGUAAUAAGUAUGGAGCAAGCGUUAUCCGGAUUUACUGGGGGUAAAGGGAGAGUAGGUAGCAGAGCAAGUCCGAAGUGAAAACCCAAAGCUAAACUAUGGGAAUGCUUUAGAAACUGCUCAGCUAGCGGGCAGGAGAGGCAAGUGGAAUUAUUUGUGUAGCGGGGAAAUGCGUAGAUAUUAGGAGGAACAC